rnacentral:rRNA from 1 species
UACGUAGGGCGCAAGCGUUUGUCCGGAGUUACUGGGCGUAAAGCGUGCGCAGGCGGUUUUGUAAGUCAGAUGUGAAAUCCCCGGGCUUAACCUGGGAACUGCGUUUGAAACUACAAGGCUAGAGUGUGGCAGAGGGGGGUGGAAUUCCACGUGUAGCAGUGAAAUGCGUAGAGAUGUGGAGGAACACCGAUGGCGAAGGCAGCCCCCUGGGUUAACACUGACGCUCAGGCACGAAAGCGUGGGGAGCAAACAGG